GAUGAACGCUGGCGGCGUGCUUAACACAUGCAAGUCGAACGAUGAAGCCCAGCUUGCUGGGUGGAUUAGUGGCGAACGGGUGAGUAACACGUGAGUAACCUGCCCUUGACUCUGGGAUAAGCCUGGGAAACUGGGUCUAAUACUGGAUAUGACUUCUCAUCGCAUGGUGGGGGGUGGAGAGAUUUAUUGGUCUUGGAUGGACUCGCGGCCUAUCAGCUUGUUGGUGAGGUAAUGGCUCACCAAGGCGACGACGGGUAGCCGGCCUGAGGGGGUGACCGGCCACACUGGGACUGAGACACGGCCCAGACUCCUACGGGAGGCAGCAGUGGGGAAUAUUGCACAAUGGGCGCAAGCCUGAUGCAGCGACGCCGCGUGAGGGAUGACGGCCUUCGGGUUGUAAACCUCUUUCAGUAGGGAAGAAGCGAGAGUGACGGUACCUGCAGAAGAAGCGCCGGCUAACUACGUG
rnacentral:rRNA from 1 species